rnacentral:rRNA from 2 species
GCCAAGGAUGUUUUCAUUAAUCAAGAACGAAAGUUAGGGGAUCGAAGACGAUCAGAUACCGUCGUAGUCUUAACCAUAAACGAUGCCGACCAGCGAUUAGGAGACGUUGAAUACAAAACACCACCAUCGGUGCGGUCGUCCUUGGCGUCUCGGUCCUUCACGGGGCCGGGGCGCGGGGGUGGCUUAGCCCGGUGGCACCGGUGAAUGACUCCCCUAGCAGCUUGUGAGA